GACGAACGCUGGCGGCGUGCUUAACACAUGCAAGUCGAACGGAAAGGCCCUGCUUUUGUGGGGUGCUCGAGUGGCGAACGGGUGAGUAACACGUGAGUAACCUGCCCUUGACUUUGGGAUAACUUCAGGAAACUGGGGCUAAUACCGGAUAGGAGCUCCUGCUGCAUGGUGGGGGUUGGAAAGUUUCGGCGGUUGGGGAUGGACUCGCGGCUUAUCAGCUUGUUGGUGGGGUAGUGGCUUACCAAGGCUUUGACGGGUAGCCGGCCUGAGAGGGUGACCGGCCACCUUGGGACUGCGCUACGGCCCAGACUCCUACGGGAGGCAGCAGUGGGGAAUAUUGCACAAUGGGCGGAAGCCUGAUGCAGCAACGCCGCGUGCGGGAUGACGGCCUUCGGGUUGUAAACCGCUUUCGCCUGUGACGAAGCGUGAGUGACGGUAAUGGGUAAAGAAGCACCGGCUAACUACGUG
rnacentral:rRNA from 1 species